AUACCUUUCUCGGCCUUUUGGCUAAGAUCAAGUGUAGUAUCUGUUCUUAUCAGUUUAAUAUCUGAUACGUGGGCCAUAGGCUCACAUGAUAUUAAAAUAAUUUUUUCUUGGGGGAAAGCCCACCACAGUAGCUUGCUGCUGGGGCUUUCGCGCGUCGCCCAUGCGUUGCACUACUGCACGGGCCUGGCGCACUCCAU
rnacentral:snRNA from 1 species